rnacentral:lncRNA from 1 species
CAUAAAUUGUCUGCCUGUCUGUCAUUGAUGGGCCCUGCUUCUUUUUGCUCCUUAUGGAUUUGGACGGCUUCUGCAGUGUGCAGUUCCUCUGUGUUGUCGGUUCUCUUUGCGAUUUUGCUUUCUUUCCACUUUAUUUUCACAUUUUUCUAGUAGGCCCGCCGUGCUGGUGCAGUAUUCAAGUUAGUGUUAUAUCUUUCUUGUGUUCCUCUGUUCUGGUCCUCAGGUUCCUGGCUGUGGCUCCUAUAUGGGGCUCAUCAUUUUGAUCGUCUUUGUUCGUCAUUGGGAUCCUGUGGAUUCCGGUUCCCUGCUCUAUCCCGUAUUGGUCUUUCACAUUUCUUAUGUGCUCAAAGGUGGUCUGGGGC